rnacentral:rRNA from 1 species
UACGGAGGGGGCUAGCGUUGUUCGGAAUUACUGGGCGUAAAGCGCGCGUAGGCGGCUUUGUAAGUUAGAGGUGAAAGCCCGGAGCUCAACUCCGGAACUGCCUUUAAGACUGCAUCGCUAGAAUUGUGGAGAGGUAAGUGGAAUUCCGAGUGUAGAGGUGAAAUUCGUAGAUAUUCGGAAGAACACCAGUGGCGAAGGCGACUUACUGGACACAUAUUGACGCUGAGGUGCGAAAGCGUGGGGAGCAAACAGGAU